rnacentral:rRNA from 1 species
CAGCCGCCGCGGGAAUACGUAGGCGGCAAGCGUUGUCCGGAAUUAUUGGGCGUAAAGCGCGCGCAGGUGGUUUAAUAAGUCUGAUGUGAAAGCCCACGGCUCAACCGUGGAGGGUCAUUGGAAACUGUUAAACUUGAGUGCAGGAGAGAAAAGUGGAAUUCCUAGUGUAGCGGUGAAAUGCGUAGAGAUUAGGAGGAACACCAGUGGCGAAGGCGGCUUUUUGGCCUGUAACUGACACUGAGGCGCGAAAGCGUGGGGAGCAAACAGGAUUAGAUACCCGUGUAGUCCCUGUCUCUUAUAC